rnacentral:rRNA from 1 species
AUUGAACGCUGGCGGCAGGCCUAACACAUGCAAGUCGAGCGAGCGGCGGACGGGUGAGUAAUGUCUGGGAAACUGCCUGAUGGAGGGGGAUAAAUACUGGAAACGGUAGCUAAUACCGCAUACCAUCAGAUGUGCCAAGAUGGGAUUCGCUAGUAGGUGGGGGAAUGGCUCACCGAGGCGACGAUACCUAGCUGGUCUGAGAGGAUGACCAGCCACUCUGGAACGGAGACAGGGGCCAGACUCCUUCGGUAGGCAGCAGUGGGGAAUAGUGCACAAUGGGCGAAAGCCUGAUGCAGCCAUGCCGCGUGUAUGAAGAAGGCCUUCGGGUUGUAAAGUACGUUCAGCGAGGAGGCGUUACUCGCAGAAGAAGCACCGGCUAACUCCGUGCCAGCAGCCGCGGUAAUAC